rnacentral:lncRNA from 1 species
GAAAGGGACAAGCACAAGAAGAAAAAGGAGAUGAUGAAAGUACCUGACUCGAUCCUUUGAAAUUAACAAUGAAGAAGAAACCUUCUUCUCUGAUUUCUCUCUGUAUUCUUCAACUCUCUCACCAACUUCUCCAUAAAGAUGAUGAAGUUUCAGAUGAUAUAUAUCAUCUUCCUUCCCAUUUACUUCAUUCCUUAAUUACAUCUUUGCCCCCACUCGCUCUGCGCAGCUUCCAUCACCACCUCCCAUUUGAGGAUCACAAUGCUGAGGAUUUUUCUCAUACAAAUAAGAGAAAACGUGGCAGGGAUUGGAAUCUAAACACUGCUUGGCAGAGGUUGUUUAAGUUACGGUGGCACGAUAUCGUCGAUAAAAUCCAACCACAAAAUUGGCAACAAGCAUAUUGGGAAACCCAUUUGCAAAAUUGUUUUGAUGAGGCAGCAGAGAUAGCACUAGUCCCAUCUUUUAAUGGAAAUAUUAGUGAGAUACAAAUGUCAGAUAGUAUAUUGAAUUAUAUUGGUUUUACGGGACAUACAAAUCAUUCGACUUGUGACCAUUCAAAACUUUUUUACCAUUGCCAACAAUUUGGCAGCCAUGCAAGGUAAGACUAAGAUGUUAGUGUUAUUGUGUGUCAUAAUUUAUAUGAAGAUGAUCAGUUAGGAUUACUUUUAAAUAUGAAAGAAAGGAUAGAGCAAUGGGUUUCGUUCGUGUUUAUGAAUAAAAAAACUUUAUGUUUUGUUACUAUUAGUGAAGCUCAAUGGUUGAAUAGUUAACUCAAUCUUACUUAGUUUAUUAGUUUCGGAUCUAGCUGACCAGUUAAGCUGUACUUAUUGUAGUUUAAAGUUUAAUGUUGGCCAUUGCCUACCAUGAUAAUUCAUCAUCAAUAAUUUUAUAAAUUAUGUCUGUGCUGUUAAAUAUGUUGUGCAUCAGUGCAAUUUUGCCUUGACCAAUUCUUUCACCUAUCACUUCGUCUUGAUGCAGCUGUCUGAGACUGCAAAAUGUUUUAUGUGCUGCAGAAACUAGUGAUUUGUUAAGGGAGUGCAAGCUGCAGGGCUUGGUGCUAAAUUGGAUCCG